UGAGGAAUAUUGAGCAAUGGGCGCAAGCCUGACUCAGCAACGCCGCGUGGAUGACGAAGGCCUUCGGGUUGUAAAAUCCUUUUCUGGGGGAAGAUAAUGACGGUACCCCAGGAAUAAGUUCCGGCUAACUACGUGCCAGUAGCCGCGGUAAAACGUAGGGGACGAGCGUUAUCCGGAUUUACUGGGCGUAAAGCGCAUGUAGGUGGCGCGGAAAGUUGGACGUGAAAGCUCCCGGCUUAACUGGGAGAGGUCGUACAAAACUACCGUGCUUGAGGUUGGAAGAGGAGAGCGGAAUUCCCGGUGUAGUGGUGGAAUGCGUAGAUAUCGGGAGGAACACCAGUGGCGAAAGCGGCUCUCUGGUUCAAUACUGACACUGAGAUGCGAAAGCGUGGGGAGCGAACGG
rnacentral:rRNA from 1 species